rnacentral:rRNA from 1 species
GACGAACGCUGGCGGCGUGCUUAACACAUGCAAGUCGAACGGAAAGGCCCUGCUUUUGUGGGGUGCUCGAGUGGCGAACGGGUGAGUAACACGUGAGUAACCUGCCCUUGACUUUGGGAUAACUUCAGGAAACUGGGGCUAAUACCGGAUAGGAGCUCCUGCUGCAUGGUGGGGGUUGGAAAGUUUCGGCGGUUGGGGAUGGACUCGCGGCUUAUCAGCUUGUUGGUGGGGUAGUGGCUUACCAAGGCUUUGACGGGUAGCCGGCCUGAGAGGGUGACCGGCCACAUUGGGGCUGAGAUACGGCCCAGACUCCUACGGGGGGCAGCAGUGGGGAAUAUUGCACAAUGGGCGGAAGCCUGAUGCAGCAACGCCGCGUGCGGGAUGACGGCCUUCGGGUUGUAAACCGCUUUCGCCUGUGACGAAGCGUGAGUGACGGUAAUGGGUAAAGAAGCACCGGCUAACUACGUG